ensembl:lncRNA
UAGGAACCCUUCAAUGAUUUUAUCCACUUAUGUGUGGAAAAACGCUGCAAUUGCCAGGCAAAGCCCCACACUCAGACUUUUCCACGUUAUUACCAGUGUGCAAAGACCAGAGUUAGACCCCACUGGCUUUCUGUCACUUGCUUCAUGGCAGUGAGCAAUAACCCCUCGCUCCCAGCAGCCCUGCUCUUAGCUGAGGGAAGUAACCACCUCAUUCUCCCAUCCUUCCAGAGACAUCCUGCAGUGGAGCAGCCAGCCAGCACUCUGGGGACCCAGUCAUGCGCUUGUUCUUCUGCUGAGGUUUCCAAACACCAGUGCCUCCUGGUCAGAGGGUGCAGUAGCAGCGGCUCACACAUAGUAUCUCCCUAAAGGGCUCCCUGGAAUCUCCAUAGGUAGCAACAUUUUCCAGAUUCUAUUACUGCAGUGGAGACCAAUAGUCUCACCUUCUCUCCAUGUGGCUUUUUAUCCCCCCCCUCCAUUUCUGAGUUUCUAAGCAUCUAAAUGGGGCCGUCUCAGGAAUUCUUAUCCAUGGACUUAGAGUGGAAGUGACGGAUCACUUCCAGAUCUGUGCAGUGAAGAGUACGUGUGACUUAUUUAUACUUCAGCCCCCACAUCUCCACCCCUAGUCCUCUUGGCCAGAAGCAAAUGACGCCAACAUGGGCAGGUUCCUUCUGUCUAUAGCCUGAGUCCCUGAGUAACCACUUGGAAGAGAGCUGCUUGUGUGGGCCACCAGGUGCACCCUGUCUGUUAGUUAGUUAGUGUUCUGUAAGCCACUGAGUUAUCAGGGUCAUUUGUUACUGAAAUGCAACCCGGGGUAUCCUGAGUGAUACAACAACUUUAACUGUAUAACAGUAGCAAGUAUCCUUAUGUGAGAAGUGGGUAGAUCAUACCACUAGGAUUUAAAGGAAUGGAUACCUGGAAAUCACAGCAAAGAUGCAUGUGGGUACCCAAUGACUACCUGCGUUCUCCGUGGAGUUACCGUGAGCGAUGGAGAUAGGAAAGCAUCCCUCAGUUCUCCAGUGACCAAAAUAGGUAUUCUUCCCCCAUGACAUUUCUAACAUAACUUUGUCAAGUGGGAAGUGUCACCGGUGAUUCCGCUUACACCUUUCUGUUCCUUUCUCAUGAUUAUUAUUCCGGGAUGAUCAACUCACACAAAGCUGUCUCCGUUGUGUAAUAUUUCACAUUCUCUGAUUUGAGAGAGUGUUCUUUUCCCAUCAAAGCCAUUUUAGACGUCCACUCUGCCAGGAACACUAACGCUGAAAUAGAUCUGAGAGAGAGGGAAGAGAAAGCCCCAGGUCUGUUGCAAACUUCGUGUAUCCUGGGAGACCAACUUUAGCUUAGGGUAGUUUCAACUAAUUCCUAAUUACUUUUGUGUUGUCUUUGUGUAAGAGGAGACACAUCAGAGGAGGAAUGACCAUUUGUAGCGCUGUUUCUUUCACAGGGUUGAAAGUAGGUGGUGUUUAUCAUGAGCACACAAUAAUGAGAGUGAUUAGUAAUUCUUUACGGCUGUGUUUAUCUACCUCCAAGGAGCUGCGAGCUCAUGACUUCUCCGCAUGUAUCCAGAAAAGAUCCAGGAGAUCUCACGUUUUCCCAUGGGUGCUAGAUAUUUAAAUUAUUUAGCAAGAUGCUAUGAUUUCACUUGACUGACAAAAAUCCUCUCAAUAUGGGUAAGUACUCAGUUUCUGCCUUUGAACGAAGCCUACAGCACCUACUAGCCUACUGUUUAUAAAGAAUUGGUGAUAUUUUCAGAUCAUAAGGCAGCUACUAGCUCUAAAGAUAUGGAGUGUUUUCAGACUUUCAGCUCUAAGACGAGUAAGGUCUGAGGACUAUUGUAUAGCAUGGCCAUCCAAAUUGAUAACACGGUUCUGUAUGAUUGAAGUUUUCUAAGAGAUUAGGAAUUACAUGUACACACACACGUGUGCACAAAGUUAAUUGUGAGGUGAUACGUGUGCUAAUUGUCUUGAUGGAGGAAACACUUUCACCUCGUAGACUUUAAAUAUCUUACAACUUUAUUUAUCAAUUACAUGUCAAUAAAUGUCGAACAAGGAAGAGGAAAUGGAGGGUGUUGCCUGAACCAUUGCCAGGCUUCCCUGCAGCCUAAAGAGCCUCCUCAGAAUGAGUCAUUAAAAAAGUGGGAGUGGGUUGGAGCUCCCUGGUGGUUUAGCAGGUUAAGGAUCUGACCUUGUCAUGCUGUGGCUCAGGUCACCACUGUGGUGUGGGUUUGAUCCCUGGCCUGGGACUUACACAUGCCAUGGUGGAGGGCACACCGUCAAUGUCACCCGUCUCUUUUAGAGUGCCUUUUCUAUUUUGCAAAAGCAGCUCCAAUCAAACGCCACCUUUGUGUUCAGAUAGAAAGAAAGAGUUCAUUCUUGCUACUUCCUGUUAAAAAUCACUCAUAUCAAGAUGACAGAGCUUGUGAUAAGAGCUGGUUGACUUCUGAUGGGACAAUAACACAACAGAAUGUGCUGUCACGGGCCAGCGUAAGGAGGUUAAAAUGUGUCAUAAUGGUUCCUUUGCCAUAACCUGUACUGGUUUAAUCUUGAAGAUUUGGGUGUGUACCCUUGUAGCCACUGCAAUUAUCUCGAUGACUGUCAGAGAAUAUAAGAGCCACCCUUGAACAGUGAGCUCUAAAAUAAUGCUAUUUCUUUGUCUUUCUGGUAAUUUAAAAUACCUUUCAUAGGCGCUGCCAUAUUGCAUACGCCUUCUGUGUCUGGGUAUGUUUUCAUUACUAAUAAAUACUCACACAUUUCAGGUUCACGGUCUUUCAAAAGCACCAAAUAUGCUGCUUAUUUUAUCUUAAACCUCGAAAGCUCUUUUUCAUUAGUUGUAAAAGAUUUCAUUUAUGCUUGUGGUAAAAAACAGCUUCAUUUUCGAAACCCAGAGCACCUUCUCUUUGUUACGGUCAUUUGUAGAGUUAUACAUCGUCAAGGGAUAAUUUCCUCUCAGCCUUUUUAUCAGCAAAGAUGAAGCUUUACGGUUAUAGGAUAAGGCUCUUUCGUCAUAAGUAACAGCAUGAUUGUAAGGUACAAGAUUCUCAGAUAUUUUACUCAUUUAAGCAUUUUUUUGCUAAGCUCCAAUCACCCUUUCUGCACGUCCCAUUGACAAUCUUCCCAUUGGAAUCUGUUAGGGCAAGAAUUAUAUCUCUCUUGAUCUCUGCUUCCUUCUACUGUACGAAUAGUUCUUAGAAAGAGUAUGUUCAGAAUCCACAUUUGCCAUGAGGACGAAUGAGUGAGAGCUGGUGCAGAGGCAGCAAGAACUGUGAAAAUGCAGAUGAGGAGUCAAAAUAACUAUGCUCGCCCUCCCAUCUCUGACCAUCAAGCCGUCGGGAUACCACGCGAUUGCGCUUUGACCUUACUCAAAGUUGUGGAUACCCUGAAGUCAUAAGUUCUGUGCUAGAAAUCCUCUACUUUCCAGUUCAGGAAACUGAGCUUAAGAAGUCUUAAAACGUCCAUGUGCCUUGAUUGACAUCACAGGGUGUCAACCGGAAAAGGGGGGGUUGGGCUAGGAAUCAACUCUUCAACCUCCAAGUCUGUGGAGGUGAGCACUGUGACGCUUAGGUGGGGCAGAAAGAACUGUUUUCCAGCAAGACAGGUGAGUUGGGUUUGUGUUCUGAGUCCCUGUAGCUCAUCUGGCAACAAUAUCGAGAUGCUAUGCAAGUUGCUAUGAGAAUAGAGCAGGGCCUGACAGUGUCUAGCACAGAACUCGGAUAUGUAAUUGUUCAAACAGGACUUCCUCCAACUUCCCCUUCACUUCUUUCCUUCUUCCUAAAACACACGUCUGUGAUGAACCCGUCCGUAGUCGUGGAUGGUACCUGGGAUGGGAGCGAAUACGUGUCCUUGAGAAACCCCCUCAUUUCACUCUAUAAUUGGACGGGAGCUAUUACCCAUCAUUUCCUGAGGCAGUAUGCUUCUUGAAAGUGAAGUCUACUGUUGACACUCUUUAUGGUAGAUAUGCACCAAGGUGUGACCAAUGAUCCCUGCCUCUUGUAUUCAUGUUCUUGUGUAAUUCCACCCCACCCCCCCGCCACUGAUCUUAUUUAUUUACUUCCUGUGAAUAGACAUGACAGAAGUGCUGGUAUUUUUUAACUCCUGAGAUCAGGACACAAAGGACUCUGGCUUCCAUCUUGACUACUCUCUGGAGCCCUGUCUCCUAUCACGAGUUGCUGUACCAUGAGGUCACUCAGGUGCCAUGAAUCAGCCUGGCCCAGGAAGUCCCGGAGAUGCCACAACCCUGGGUGACAGCUCGAUUGUGAUUGCAUGUGAGAUCUUGAACAGAGAACUCAAAUAAGCUAUACCCAGUUCCCAGAGACACAGAAACUGUAAGAUAAUAAAUCUUUGCUGCUUGGGACACUCUAUAUUUGGGGAUGGUUUGUUACACAGCCCUAGAUAACUAAUACACACUUCUAUAGCAAGUAACAAAUCUUUGGAUUGCAUAAUCAUUUACUUCCAUGGCUUGUUCUCAGGGGUUUUGUUUUUGUUUUUGUUGUUUUUUGUUUUUUUGGUCUAUUUUAGAAUUAAGGCCAGAUUAUCUUUCAUUUUUCAAUGUUUUAUUGAAGUAUAGUUGAUUUACAUACAUUGCUUUGGUAAUUUCUGCUGUACAACAAAGAGAUUGAGUUAUACACAUCCAUUCUUUUUCAGAUUCCUUUCCCACAUACACCAUCACAGAAUAUUGAGGAGAGUUCUCUGUGCUAUACAGCAGGUCCCUAUUGGCCAAUUGUUUCAUAUACACCAGUUUGCAUAUGCCAAUCCCAAACCCCCACCCCACCCCUCCCUAUGCCUACAGCUCUAGCUUUUGAUGAAACAAUGCUGGGAUGACAAGAUAAAAAGAUAACCACUUUUAAGAGACCUCCAAGUAGACUAAUAAAAUAAAAAGGGACAAUCUAAGCCAAGAACUUAGCUUGGUAAAACUGAUAUCUUGUGUCUCGGUUUGUAAAAGGGUAAGCAGGGUAUUUAUCAUUAGGGUAUUUUAAAGCAUCAUCAUUGCAUUUAGUCACCAUCAUUCUUUCAUUUAUGUAACAGACGUUUGUAGAAUAUUCAACUGUUUUACCUCUGCAGCCAUAGAGAUAACCAGCAACCUUAAUGUGCCCUCAAAAGAAUCGGAGUUGACAUUUUUACUUCUCUGUUUUAACCUGUCCCGCCUGACCGAUCUUGGGACUCUUUCAUCAAGUCUGAUGGGAAGUUUACAGUAAAGAUGAGCCCCUCGCAUUAUGAACCUGUUGAGAUUAGCUGACGGGAGCCACCUGGGAACAAACACCUUAUAGAAAAGUCUGCUUUUCUCCAAACUGUUUGGGAGAAAAAGGAGAGGGGAAGAAAAAAGAGACUGUAUUGUGAGAACCCUGAACUGAUAUCUGAUGGUUCUUGGAGCAGCCCUCGAGAUGUCAAAGAUGAUAAUACAGUAACAACAUUUGGGAAGUAUUUCUAGCCUUACACUUAGCCUUUUGGCAGGAAUUGAUUAAGCCAGAAGAAGCCUGUGACUUUUCAAUUCCGAGUACAAUUUGUUUCUCUAAUACAUCCGCAGGAGUAAUGUGUGAUGGAAUUUUUCCUCCCCAACCCCCAGUGUUGUUGAUGAUGAUAUGCUGUAAUAGGUUCUCACAAGCCAUACCUCAGCAAUAUACAACACAACACAUGUACAUCUGCGGCCCAGUGUCAGUGCUUUAAAUGUACCUCAGAAAUGCAUUAAAUCUUCUGAUUGCUAUUCUGUUUGUACAGCUUGUUGGUUCAGAUUUUCUCCAGUAAUGCACUCUGCUGAUUACCUUGAAUUAUCGGUAUAUCCUUGAUAGAACAAGCACACCUUGUUCAGAAAAACAGUCCGACAGAUGUGGCUUGAGCCCUUUUGGUGUGAAGACAAACGGCAGAAAUAUUUCUUGGAAGUUAACACAAGCAACCUUGUACUUCCUUAAAGUCACAUCUCAAAAGCUUCCAGGUAAUCUUCGCUUCAGCACGGUCCUUCCAGAAGGCUCUGCUCUCAAGAUGCGUCCUACCUGAGGAACUGCAGGUGGCUGGCACGUAUGCAGAUCGCUCUUCUGAAAGGAGAGGAAGAAGGAAAAGUGUUUCUGGGCUGGUCCCUGCUCCAGGCAGGAAGAAUGUCCCUUUGUCGCCUCUCGUCUGAAGGGAAGGGUGUGCACAUACACUUCCACAUACCCACUGUCAAGAAUAAAAAUUGGAAAUGCUUUGAGAAUCCAGCUGGGCCCUGUUAGCAGUGGCUAACGUUCCUGAACAAUAGCAAUUCAGAUAAUCAUUUUCAUGUUGAAAAUCUUUGCUGCCAUCAGAACAUAGAUGUUGAAGUAGGUACCGCAACCAUCAGUGUAUGCAAAUAAAAUGUCAUCAGAAUUGGUGAAUUGUUCUAAUAUCCCUGUCAACGAGUAUGUGUGUGUGUGUUUCGUGUACAAGAAGUCACCGCACCAUGUCCUUCAGGUUUAGUUUUUGAAAGGUGAAAAUAGGUUGAUCUGGGGUAGCUACAACUUUUUUUCUUUUCUCUUAGGGUGGUGACGCGAGUUUGUAAAGUUUGGCCAGGGACGAAAAAUAAAGCGAAGUUAACAAACCAAGAAGGUGAUCUAAAGUAUUAAUUUCUGCUUUUGUACUGAUUAUAUGAACCCAAAAAGAACUAAGGUAUUCAUCCUCAUACACCCAGGCCUUAAAUGGAAUUUUAGAUUUUUUAAAACACUGUCACUGUUUCGUGCUGUCAUCCCAACACUGAUAGUUUCAAAGACCAAGGAUUCACCAAAGGAGCCAUUACUCAUGGGCUGGCUCUGCUGUUCCAGGCUUUGGACUGGACCCUACAGAGAGAAAUGGGGUCAGAUGGAGUCUGUCCUCAGAACAUUAAAAAAGAAGGUGAGGAAAACAGCAAACGAGCACAUGCAUAGGAAGUGGUCGAGGGUCUUAAGCGAGAAAACUGGGAACGUGAGCUCCUGGGCAAAGGCAGCGUCACCUCAUGGGGACGGAGGACGUGCAGGUGACGGGGAAGAUGGCCCCAGGGCGGUGGAUGUGGGCGCAGGGGGUGGGACGUGUGCUCUUAGGAAGGAUGCGCGUAUCCCCAGACACUCACAGGAGGUGACCAACCCAGGCAAGGUGUUUCGAAUUUACUCUUUGUUCCUUUUUUGGCAGCAACCUUGGCACAGGGAAGUCCCUGGGCCAGGGAUCAAAUCUGAGCUGCAGCUGUGACCCACACCACAGCUGUGCUCACACAGGAUCUUUAACAAAAUGGAUUGAACCCAUGCCUCCAGAGAAAAUGUUGGAUCCAGAGUUCCCACUGUGGUGCAGCAGAAAUGAAUCCCACUAGUAACCAUGGGGUUGCAGGUUCAAUUCCUGGCCUCGCUCAGGGGUUGAGGAUCCGGCAUUGCCUGAGCUGCGGUGUAGGUCGCACAUGUGGCUCAGAUCUGGUGUUGCUGUGACCGUGGUGUAGGCCGGCAGCUGCAGCUCAGAUUGGACUCGUAGCCUUCCAUGUGCUGUGUGUGUGGCCCUUAACAAAAAAAAAGAAGAAGAAGAAGAAAAAUUCCCUUAAUUAAGUGCAUCGAUCAGAUUAUUUUUGGAAUUUUCUUUAUAGGAAACAUUUUGCUAGAUGCAAGUAUUAUUUUAGAAUUAAAAACUUCCUAUUGUCAUUAUCGAUAGCAAUGUUAACAAGUAGCAAGUAAUAUUAACAAGAAACAAGUACUAUUUAAGAGCCUGCAUUUGGGAUGUUGCUGUUUAAGUGUUUGAACUAGCCCAAUGGAAAGUUAAGCCGAGUCUUAACACUGGGCAUUGCAAGCUAAGGCAAGGGAGUUAAAUAAGGAAAUAUUGUACUUCAGACAGCACUGUCUCAGACCUCAAAAACUUCAGUGGCACUGAAUGAAAAAAAUCCUAAUUGUAAUAUGCAUGCCUCCAUAGCCAGUCUUAGUUCAGUGUAUACACUGAUUACGGGAGGUGAGUUCCACUCCUUGUUUGUGAUUGGGGAAAACACAUUCCUUCUGAUUUGAUAAGACACUAUUUAAUUGGAAAUUUGUAUUUUAAUCAUUGCUACAUACAAAUUGAUACACAUUCAAUUGCAAAAGCAAUCUUCCCAAGGUAAUCUAUAGAUUCCUGCUAUUUUCUUAAUAAUGUUAGCUAAAAUUGCCUAUAGCGUUCACAAGUUCCUUGAACAUAUCGUAUUAAUGUGAUUUGCUGUUUAACCAGGAGUUCUAAAUUCAUCAUUCAUUAUAUUUGAAAGCAAAAUCUCUCCAAAUGGAAAUAAACUCUUAAUAGAACCCAGUUGUUAAAAAUUAAUAUAAUUAAAGGGAAAAAAGAUAACCAAUGGUGUUAUUAUUUAACUUACCUACAAGAGAAAUACCUAGAAUAAUGUAAAUCUGUAGUUGUCUCUUUGGACCAGACCAAAAAAAAAAAAAAAAAA